GACGAACGCUGGCGGCGUGCCUAAUACAUGCAAGUCGAGCGGAGUUAGAGAAGCUUGCUUCUCUAACUUAGCGGCGGACGGGUGAGUAACACGUGGGCAAUCUGCCCGUAAGACUGGGAUAACUCCGGGAAACCGGGGCUAAUACCGGAUAAUCCUGACUCUCUCCUGAGAGUCAGUUGAAAGAUGGUUUCGGCUAUCACUUACGGAUGAGCCCGCGGCGCAUUAGCUAGUUGGUAGGGUAAUGGCCUACCAAGGCGACGAUGCGUAGCCGACCUGAGAGGGUGAUCGGCCACACUGGGACUGAGACACGGCCCAGACUCCUACGGGAGGCAGCAGUAGGGAAUCUUCCGCAAUGGACGAAAGUCUGACGGAGCAACGCCGCGUGAGUGAAGAAGGUUUUCGGAUCGUAAAACUCUGUUGUUAGGGAAGAACACGUACGAGAAUAACUGCUCGUACCUUGACGGUACCUAACCAGAAAGCCACGGCUAUCUACGUG
rnacentral:rRNA from 1 species